rnacentral:rRNA from 1 species
AGUGGGGAAUUUUGGACAAUGGGCGCAAGCCUGAUCCAGCCAUGCCGCGUGAGUGAAGAAGGCCUUCGGGUUGUAAAGCUCUUUCAGUUGGGAAGAAACGAUUGCAACUAAUAAUUGUAAUUAAUGACGGUACCGACAGAAGAAGCACCGGCUAACUACGUGCCAGCAGCCGCGGUAAUACGUAGGGUGCGAGCGUUAAUCGGAAUUACUGGGCGUAAAGGGUGCGCAGGCGGUUUUGUAAGUCAGAUGUGAAAUCCCCGGGCUUAACCUGGGAAUGGCGUUUGAAACUGCAAGGCUAGAGUGUAGCAGAGGGGAGUGGAAUUCCGCGUGUAGCAGUGAAAUGCGUAGAUAUGCGGAGGAACACCGAUGGCGAAGGCAGCUCCCUGGGCUAACACUGACGCUCAUGCACGAAAGCGUGGGGAGCAAACAGGAUUAGAUACCCUGGUAGUCCACGCCCUAAACGAUGUCAACUAGUUGUCGGGCCUAAUUGAGGGUUUGGUAACGUAGCUAACGCG